ensembl:snRNA U1 U1 spliceosomal RNA
AUAUUACCCGGAAGGAGCGACAUAGUGAUCAUGAAAGUACCUCUCUUGGAGAGAAGCUUAUCCCUUGCCCUCCAGAUGUGCCAACCCUGUGAUUUCUCCAGCUGUGAGAAACUCAACUACAUAUUUUGUGGUAGUGUGAUCCAAUGGUCAUA